UUUCUUUCCUCUGGCCUGGUGCUCGGUUCAAUCUCCUCCAUUCAGAACAAAACGCCAUGCUGAAGCUAUCCGAUAAGUCGGACUCAAAAACCGACACCAAAUUCCUUCUGGAUGCCAUCUCGAAAGACAAAAUGCACCUAGCUAGGUUCAUCCUGGACGCACUGGACGGUAAGAUCGUGGACUCGAAAAGCGACGACGAGCUCACGCCGCUUAUCUCGUCUGUGUUUUUGCCGGACUCGCGCGCCAGAGCCAAGUUCAUGAACCUGCUGUUACAGAGAGGCGCUAACGUAAACCAGCAGGACGAGUGUGGGCGCACGGCGCUUAGUUACGCGUGUGAGAAAGGCUACCUGGACGCCGUAAAGAUGCUGGUGAAGAACAACGCCGAUCCGGAGAUUGUGGACGCGUGGGGAAACACUGCGCUCAUGUACGCCGCGGUCGCUGACCAUUCACUGGUCGUUGAAUUUCUGGUGAAGGCCUUCAAACGGCUUGGGCUCCAAAUCGACCGCCAAAACAAAGUAGGUAACUCAGCAGUGGAGGUAGCAAAGUACUUGGGCCACACCGAUUGUUUAUCCGCGUUAAUGAGCAACUCCAAAAAGGACGCAUUAGAUGAAAGAUUUGCACUUUUGUGUGCCAACGAGGGAGAGGACACAAACUCCGAAAAGGAACAACCAUCUGAAGUUUCAGACACGCACCAGAGCAAAAGCUCGAGCCGGAGGAAAUGCCCUAAUUUAUGGAACAGAAUGAUGUCCAUGGACUCUAUCGAGGAGUUAGAGAUUGAAAGUGAGUCUGAGAAGGAUAGAUGGCCAGUAUCUCCACAAGGCUGUGCUUUUUCAGGUGUGCUCACACCGAGACCGCCUCAGAGAUCCCGCGUUUCGCAAACUUUAAAGCAAGUAGCUGAAAGCUGCCUGAACAACCAUCUCCCACCAUUAUCCAGAGGGACAGAGCAUCACAGCCCAGCUUCAACCAGGACGUCCAAAAUCCACGCGCACACCGCCGGAGCUCUAUCCGGUCCGCUCGGUAUCUUGCUCACGCCUAUAAAAAAAGCCAACAGAUCGGACUCGGACAAAGCGGACGUCACUGCGAUGAGGUUUGAUGACAGUUAUUACCGGAAACGGUGCAGUUUGCCCACCAGCGCUCUUGGACCAACACCGCUUGAGCGGCAUCUGCUGAAAUCUGCACGGAAAAGUAAACCUACUCCUAGGAGGGGCGUCAGUUCGUCGCCUCAUGUCGAUUCUGUAGACUUUUCCGCCACUGCGUUUUCUGUCCUGGGCAACAGGUUGCUGAGGCGCUUUACUUUGCCUGAGUUAAAAAAGCCUGGAAAAGAAGUGAGGGAAGGUUGUGGCGCGCACGGUGGAAGCUGUGAAACGGUAGCACGUGGCAUGCCGAGGUCCGAAACCUUCCCGCUGUGCACCAACCACCCGCAAGUAGGAAGUAAGCCGAGUAUAGACAGCAUAAGCGCAGUGAAGUGCGAGUUUGACUUUCAGCUUAAAGCCAACUUUUAACCGCGCUGCUGCGUUUGCAAGGGGUCACGUGAGACGUCAGCGGACGAAUCAGUUAAUGUCGAGGAUCUGCGUUGUGUCACGCCGACGUGUACAUGGAUGUUUUUUAGGCUUUAUGCUUGAAGCAUGUUAGAAACUGUUCUCAUUAACAAUAUUUGUAUUGUCUAUAUGUCUUGUUAAGACUCAGUAAGUAAAUAGAAAAAAAACAACAUAGUAGUGUUUUAUUUGUAUCCUCUAAUGUAUGACUUGUUAUUCAAAUUCCGCAUUAUUCUUUUGGGCUACAGUAUGACGUGAAAUUAUACUAACAUUUCACUACAUUCUCGAGUUGAACCCAAUAGAGAAAUUCCAUUGGGAAUAUGUAAGAGUGCAUGACCGUAUGAACAAAUUCGCAGCUUUGUCCUCUUUCAGCUGAGUUCCCAUAUCUACAACCCUGCGUAUAGCGCACACACACACACACACACACACACACACACACACACACACACACACACACACACACACACACACACACACACACACACACACACACACACACACACACACAGAGGCACAGGACAGCAGCUGCAAUGUUGGAGGGAGUGAGGAGGGAGGGUAGAGGAAAGGAAGGGUGCAGCGAUUUCCCCCAGCUCUCCAGCUGAGAACCCAGAUAUGGAAAUCACAGCAUUGCGGGAGUAAAGUAUCUUCGUUGUUAGUGAGGCUCGAAUAGAGUACCCCUCAUUAAGCGAGUUCGUGCGCGCAGUGACCGGAUGCUACCUCACUCAGGAGACACCCGGAUUUUGCUGCAUCCGCAAUGAUCUGAGUGUUACUCCGGAAAGUCGUGCAGCGUGUCCGUGGUGCAUUUUCCACCCCAAACCUUCAGGUCUUACUGUCUCAGAGACUGCACGUGCGUCAGUAUG